rnacentral:rRNA from 1 species
CGCGGUAAUUCCAGCUCCAAUAGCGUAUACUAAAGUGUUGCAGUUAAAAAGCUCGUAGUUGGAUUUCUGGCGGGGACGGCUGGUCGGUCUCGAAAGGGGCUGUACUGUUGUUGGUUCCCGUCAUCCUUGGGGAGAGCGGCUCUUACAUUAAGUUGUCGGCGUCGGGAUCCCUAUCUUUUACUGUGAAAAAAUUAGAGUGUUCAAAGCAGGCUUAGGCCCUGAAUACAUUAGCAUGGAAUAAUAAGAUACGACCUUGGUGGUCUAUUUUGUUGGUUUGCACGCCAGGGUAAUGAUUAAUAGGGAUAGUUGGGGGUAUUCGUAUUCAAUUGUCAGAGGUGAAAUUCUUGGAUUUAUGGAAGACGAACUACUGCGAAAGCAUUUACCAAGGAUGUUUUCAUUAAUCAAGAACGAAAGUUAGGGGAUCGAAGAUGAUUAGAUACCAUCGUAGUCUUAACCAUAAACUAUGCCGACUAGGGAUCGGUGGGUGCAUUUUUAGGCCUCAUCGGCACCUUAUGAGAAGUCAAAGUCUUUGGGUUCCGGGGGGAGUAUGGUCGCAAGGCUGAAACUUAAAGAAAUUGACG